UUCAAAAUCUACUCUUCUGGCUAUUUUCAAAUAUAUAAUAUGUUAUUGUUAACUAUACUCAUCCUACUAUGCAAUAGGACACCAGAACUUAUUCCUGGGUUCUACAUCUGUUAAGCCAACCAAAGAUUGGAAAUAUUGGGAAAAAAAAUUGCGUCUGUACUGAACAUGUACAGACUUUUUUCUUGUCCUUAUUCCUUACACAAUAUAGUACAAUAACUAUUUGCAUGACAUUUACAUCGGAUAUUAUGAGUGAUCUAGAGUUGAUAUGAAGUAUAUGGGAGGAUGUGCAAAGGUGAUGUGCAAAUACUAUGUCAUUUUAUAUCAGGGACUUGAGUAUCCUUUGUUAUCCUCAGGAGAUCCUGAAACUAGUCCUCCAUGGAUACUGAGGGCUGACUGUCUAGUCCUAUCCUCACGGAACUUUCAUUGUAAUGAGGGAAGACUGACUAUAAACAAAAUAUAUGUAAUAGGUGGUGGUAAGUACCGUGGAGAAGUAACAAAUGGGGCAAAGUGAGUUAUACAGCUCCAUCCUUAGAAACCUUGGAGUACUUUUCUUAGUUUAUACUCGUGGUGGUUUCCUUUUGUCUCCUUUAUUACAUGGGACUCUGACAUGUGCCCAUAGCUAGGGUGGCAGUAGGAUCUACCCGAAAAGCGUCCUGCUGAUACAGGACCAAAGCAUCCUGUUGUUCUCG
rnacentral:lncRNA from 10 species